rnacentral:tRNA from 1 species
AUUUAUAUAGUUUAAAAAACAUUACAUUUUCAUUGUAAAAAAAAUUAAUCUUUAAUUUAUAAAUA